rnacentral:misc_RNA from 1 species
UUUCCGUAGGUGAACCUGCGGAAGGAUCAUCCAUAAUAAAGUGUUUUAUGGCACUUUUUAAAAAUCCAUAUCCACCUUGUGUGCAAUGUUAGAUCUCGUCAAUCUUGGCGAGAAUUUUAUACAUCAACUCAUUCUUUAACUAAUUUGUCUGAAAAAUAUUAUGAAUACUUAAUUCAAAAUACAACUUUCAACAACGGAUCUCUUGGCUCUC